GGACGCAUAGCUCAGUUGGUUAGAGCACUACGUUGACAUCGUAGGGGUCACUGGUUCGAAUCCAGUUGUGUCCA
rnacentral:tRNA from 4 species